rnacentral:rRNA from 1 species
ARCUAUAAGUUCUCUGUAUCGCAGCUAACGCAAUAAGCACUCCGCCUGGGGAGUACGACCGCMAGGUKGAAACUCWAAGGAAUUGACGGGGGCCCGCMCAASCGGUGGAGCAUGUGGUUUAAUUGGWAGSAACRSGAAGACCCUUACCAGGUCUUGACAUACUCGUGCUAUUCAUAGAGAUAGGAAGUUCCUUCGGGACCCGGGAUACAGGUGGUGCAUGGUUGUCGUCAGCUCGUGUCGUGAGAUGUUGGGUUAAGUCCCGCAACGAGCGCAACCCUUAUUGUUAGUUGCCAUCAUUAAGUUGGGCACUCUAACGAGACUGCCGGUGAUAAACCGGAGGAAGGUGGGGAUGACGUCAAAUCAUCAUGCCCCUUAUGACCUGGGCUACACACGUGCUACAAUGGAUGGUACAACGAGUCGCGAGACAGUGAGGUUUAGCUAAUCUCUUAAAACCAUUCUCAGUUCGGAUUGUAGUCUGCAACUCGCCUACAUGAAGUCGGAAUCGCUAGUAAUCGCGGAUCAGCACGCCGCGGUGAAUACGUUCCCGGGUCUUGUACACACCGCCCGUCACACCACGGGAGUUGGGAGUACCCGAAGUAGGUGGCC